ensembl:lncRNA
CAGAAACAGUCAGCGCGGAGAGGACUGUGCAGCAGCUUCCAGGAACUGCCUCACUCAUGCUUUGAUAUUCAUCCUCUGCAGAAAUCUGCUCAUCUCUGCAGCUUCAAAGCAGCACGCAGGAAUCAGAGAUGCUUACAUCAGCAGGAGACCUGGGAGAUGUUCUAUGGCAUCUCUGCCAUCGUACAGACUUCUCCAUCAAGGGCUUGAGCUGCAAAUAUGAAUAAAAAAAGUUCCCUGCUGUCAAGGUGAUCCUGGAUCAUCACAAGAGAGACAGCUGAUCUAAGCGAAGAGAGAAUGUAGCUCUGAUGGAGACAUAAGAUGUUGGGUUGAUACACAGUGAUGCCUUAUGGAACCCAAGGGCUGUCAAGCUUCGGGAGAUUCAGGAGCGCCGCGGGUCAUCCGAGGCCUAGGGCCAGCUUCACCUGGGAAGGAAUUCACGCAGCACACUCUCCCCUCCAGGGAGGGAAGGUGAAGCAAUGUAUUUUGAAAGCUGACUCCUCCCUGCUCUGGCAGAAAGUGGGUCAAAGGAGAAGCACAGUUUCUUCGCUGUUGCUCAGGCUCUCUCGUUUUAAAGGGUCGUGGAGGUUUCUCCUGUUGGGCUAUUAAAGGCAAUUUUGAGGAGAAUAAAGAAAAUAAGGAAAGAAAAAAUAGAAAAACUAAGAGGUUUUGGGGGAAAGGCUGGGGAUUCUAAGGAGAAAAGUUGGAGGUAGUGGCAAGAGGGGCUGUGGCCAAGAGACGCCAGGGGAGGGCCCCCAGGGGAGGGCCGUCUGGAGGCUGUUCUUGAGUUACAGUCCCACCAGCCUUCCCGUGUAGCUUGUGCAGUUUUCACUCCACAUUCUGGCUUUAUUUUCUAUAACAACUGAAUUCCAAGUGCCUAAUCCACUGGGGCUCCACACUCGAUACCCUGCCUCUUCUCCUGGCUCCCACCAUGGACUUGAGUUUAAAUCUGCAUCUGCAGGGCUUGUGAACACCAAGGUGUGGUGAUGGGGGCAGCGAAUGCCCAUUUGAUCCUCAAGUCAUCUCUCCAUGUAGGUGUCAGCCAAGACUGUCCCUUCCACAUACCAAAUCAUGCAGGUUGUGCCUCGAUGCCCCUCGUUCCUGUCUCUUGGUUCCUUCAAGUCCCAGGGCCCUUUCCAUUGCUAUUCCAUGCUCGGUCUCGAGGGCAUAGGAAUCCCUCUGAGGCAGGUUCUCCCUCUCUACAGCACUCAGGGCACAAAACCCGAUCUCUGGGCCUCAGUGACAUCUGUCCUUUUCCCUGUCCUUUCUUUCACCUGGCGUGAAGCAACUUUUUUCUGGUGUGGAGAAAGUCCCCUUUCCUCCAAUCUCCCUUUCAAACGUUUGGCUCUCUCCAACUCCUCUCAGUCCCACCAUGGGCUUUAGGCUUUUGGAAGCCACAGUUGGGAAGAAGUCUGUCUGUCCGUCCAUCUGUCUGUCCUCUCUCUAGCUUUCCAUCCUCAUAUCCCUUCCAAAUCGCAAUGGGCAUGAAAUAGACCACAUGCUUGGAAAUGGGCAAAAGAGAAAAAUACGUGGGAGAAAAUAGUUAAGCCUUCAAAAUAUUAUUCUGCACACACACACAGGUGGGAACCUCGUGUCAUCUGCCCAGAACUAAAGCAGAUGAACAUCUGGAAUCAGAAUCACCCGUGUGUGAGCUAAAAAUAUUGACUUCUGUGCCCCCCCCAAAGUCUGCUGAAUCAGAAUCUCUCCAGGUAAUUCUUUUUUUUUUUUUUUGAGGAAGAUUGGCCCUGAGCUAACAUCUGUUGCCAAUCUUCCUCUUUUUUUCCCCUUUUUUCUCCCCAAAGCCCCAGUGCAUAGUUGUAUAUCCUAGUUGUAGGUCAUUCUAGUUCUUCUAUGUGGGAUGCUGCCACAGCACGGCUUGACAAGCAGUGUGUAGGUCCAUGCCCAAGAUCCAAACGGGGGAACCCUGGGCCACUGAGCCAGAGCGUGUGAACUCAACCACUCAGCCAUGGGGUUGGCCCCUCCAGGUAAUUCUUAUGUGCACUAAACCUUGAGAAUUUCCUAGUCUUAGUCUCUGCUGAAUCAUCUACCCAGUUUUCAUAUUGAGUUGUGCUUGUUCCCAAGCUGGUUCUGAGUACUUUAAUGUGUGUACAAAUCACAUGGGGGGGUCUUGUUAAGUUGGGUGGGGGACCUGAGACUCUGCAUUUCUAACAAAUGUUCAGAUGCUGCUGCGGCUGCUGCUGGCUGGAGGACCACAUUUUGAGUGGCGAAGUGCUGGAGACUCUAUGUUGAUGUCCUGUGAGGCCUGUGAGGCCAUCUCGAGAUUUCUCAAGUCCUCGCUGCUGGCAGUUUGCUUGCACCGAGUUGGAGAUUGCUACACCCUCAUGGAGACUGUGCUUUGUUGACUGGGCUCUACCUAGGGCUCAUCCGGACUCGCUCCGCCUCCCUGCUUGUCCUGCCCUCCUGUCUCUGACCUGCUACUCCCACUCUGCCUCAAGGGCAACUCCACUGCCAUGCCCUGGUCUCCCUCACCCCAUGGGCCUCCUCUGACUGUAGAUAAAGAACCCAACAUCUCUAGAGAAUCUUUAAGUUUGCUAAUAUGGUAAAGUCCUUCUUCUUCCUGGGAGAAAAGGGGAAGUGAAACUUGAAGAAGCAGAUAAAGCUACCACAGAGGCACCCAGAGAUGAAUAAUCAUGGGAACCACACUUCCCUUCAUCAAGAUUAGCCUAGGGUUGGAUGUGUGACUCAAUUCCAGCUAGGAAGACAGAGAAGUCUGUUGGGGACCUGGUGAAUGUUUUUUCCCUUUAAGAAAAAAUCUGGAGCCUUCUGUUUUCCAUCUUGGAACAUAACUGUGAAGAUGUAGAGCUUGGAAUUGUAGCAGCCAUGUAGUGACUACAAGGUGACAAGCCUGAGGAUAGAAGCUGAAAGGCCAGUUAGGGAGAAGCUAUGUUCUUGACGAUAUCAUUGAGCCUUGGUCAGAACCAGUCCUGGAAUGGCCAACCUCCAGACUUCUUGUUAUUGCAGAUAAAUAAAGGUUUACA